UACGUAGGGCGCGAGCGUUGUCCGGAAUUAUUGGGCGUAAAGGGUAGGUAGGUGGUCUCAUUUGUCUGGGGUGAAAGCCUUGGGCUUAACUCAAGAAGUGCCCCAGAAACGGUGAGACUGGAGUCCUGGAGAGGGUCGUGGAAUUCCCGGUGUAGCGGUGAAAUGCGUAGAGAUCGGGAGGAACACCAGAGGCGAAGGCGGCGACCUGGACAGGUACUGACACUCAACUACGAAAGCGUGGGGAGCAAACAGG
rnacentral:rRNA from 1 species